ACGGCCAUGUCACGUUGAAACACCGGAUCCCGUACUAUCGCCGAAGUUAAGCAACGUCGAACGUGGCCAGUACCUAUAUGGAUGAACCCUUGGGAAUACCAGGUGCUGCAAG